rnacentral:rRNA from 2 species
GCUUACCAUGCAGUCGACGGCAGCACGGGGGCAACCCUGGUGGCGAGUGGCGAACGGGUGAGUAAUACAUCGGAACGUGUCCUGUAGUGGGGGAUAGCCCGGCGAAAGCCGGAUUAAUACCGCAUACGCUCUACGGAGGAAAGGGGGGGAUCUUAGGACCUCUCGCUACAGGGGCGGCCGAUGGCAGAUUAGCUAGUUGGUGGGGUAAAGGCCUACCAAGGCGACGAUCUGUAGCUGGUCUGAGAGGACGACCAGCCACACUGGGACUGAGACACGGCCCAGACUCCUACGGGAGGCAGCAGUGGGGAAUUUUGGACAAUGGGGGCAACCCUGAUCCAGCAAUGCCGCGUGUGUGAAGAAGGCCUUCGGGUUGUAAAGCACUUUUGUCCGGAAAGAAAACCGCCGCCCUAAUAUGGUGGUGGGAUGACGGUACCGGAAGAAUAAGCACCG